rnacentral:rRNA from 1 species
GGGUGCAAUCAUACCAACGUUAAUGCACCGUAUCCCAUCAGAACUCCGUAGUUAAGCUCACUUGGGAUAGAGUAGUGCUGGGAUGGGUGACCUCCCGGGAAGUCCUAGUGUUGCACCCU